rnacentral:lncRNA from 1 species
CUUGAACCAGGGAGUUGGAGGUUGCAGUGAGCCAAGAUCGCGCCACUGCACUCCAGCCUGACAACAAAGUGAGACUCCAUCUCAAAAAAUAAAAAAAAAAGAAAGAAAGGAAGAAAGAAAGAAAGAAAGAAAAAGAACGAAAAGAAAGAAAAAAUUGGCAAAAAUUAGUUUGUUAAUAUCAAAUGUAAAGCUAUGGGAAAUAAGUAGCCCCCCCCAAAUUUAAACAUUACAUGUCUAAUGACCAGUUUUAUUUCUUAUUAUUAUACACUCAGAUUUAAUACCACGGUUAAGAACAAGAGGAAUAAACAGAGAUUUUCAUGGCAAUAUUGUUUAUUAUAAAAAAUUUGAAAACAAAUUAUAUUUCCAUCAUUGGGAAAAUAACUAAACUACAAAUAAAUUGCAUGCAUAGUAUAGCAUACACUAUAUAAGGUUAAAAAGUGACACAGAAAAGUCUCCAAAGGGAUUAUGAUGGUGAGAGAAGGCAGUAGGAAGCAAUUAUCAUAAUAAAGCAUUUAGCAUGAUGAAGUAUCCAUCAGAAACACAAACACACACAGCAACACUGUACACUUCUCUAAAUAGUUGCUUGUAUGAGUACAUGUGUAUUUAACACAUUAAAAAGCCUAAAAAUAUACCUGUUAAAUGAUAAUCUGGGAUAAAAAGAGGUAUUACAUGUAGUAGUCAAAAAGCAUUUAACCUUAACCUAUAAUAUUUCAUUUUUUAUCAGUGACAAUGCAUUCUACAUUGCUUGUGUAAUUCUAUAAAUAUUACUAUACAAACCAGUGCUAAAAUGAAUUAUAAUAUGGGAAUAAGCAUGCAUAUGGGGUCUGUAUAUGCAUGCUAGGAGGCCACUUAGUGGAAUGUAGUGGGUGCCUCUUAUUUUUGUACACAGCAUCCCUUUCUCCUUUUCCAGUUAAUAGGACAAUUAAAUUCCUUUUUAUAGUUUUAUUUUGCAUAAACUAAUUCAAAUUGGGUUUGUGUCAUUUGUAACUGAACAAGUCCUUAUUUUCUAACACAUUUUCCGUUUUGUUGUCAUUGUGUUUUAAAAAUGUAAAAACAGCACAUUACUAUGCAACUUCCAGUUUAUCUUGAAGAAAUGAGUCACCACCCAAGUAUGGAGCAUGAGCUUUAUCUCACGGGAUUGGAAAGGCAGACUGGGAAAGGAAUGACACUUUGGAAAUUUACUUUGAGAAAUGUCUGUAUUAUUAAACAGAAUAAGGUUUUCAUUUCUGUAUUCUUUCAGCAAAGCUACUAAUCUGAGCAACGUGGAAUUAAAAUUGUAGACUAAUAAAAGGUAAGAUAUAUAAGAGUAAAGUAUAUAAGAUUCUAACAAUAGAGAUUUUGAUAAUGGGUAGUUGCUUCUUAUUUCCCUUCUGUCAACAGCCACGCCUCGAGAGCCCAGCUCCGGGACCCUGGCACCAGGGGAAGCUCCCAUGACAGAUUACUGUGGUCUCUUGCAUGCUGCUAUAGAUUGCAAUACUGAGACCAUGAUAACCUGCCACUCCCCAAAAUAUUCUUGUCUUGCCUACUUGCUCAAAUAUUGGAGGAUCUGAAGAAAUUACGAAGAAGUUUUGAUCCUUAGUAAUCAGUGAGGAUUGUCCAGAAAAAUAGAACCAAUAGGAUGUGCGUAUAUAUAUGUAAAUGAAAGAGAUUUAUUUUAAAGAAUUGGCUUAUGAGAUUUUCCAGACUUGGUGUGUCCAAAUUCUGAUGAGGAAGCCUGGAAGGCUGAAGACUUAGGAAAGAGUUGCAAUUUGUGUCCAAAGGCAGUCUGCUGGUGAGCCAGGAAGAACUGAUGUUGCAGAUGAAAUCUAAAGAAACAUCAGGAGUAGACAAGACUGCCUGUUACUGUGUAGCACUCGAUCCAUUUCUGUUUUGAUUUGGAGAUGAUAAAUUAAGGAAACUCUUCUUGGCCCACAGUAGUGGUAACCCCACUUUCCAGGCCCACCAUGUUGGCAAUCCCACCCUUUCUGCUCUGAGAAGAGGGCCAGUCCCUCUGAAUCCAAGGAGAUGACCCCACUCUCUGGAACCAAGCAGGAGAUGGUCCCAUACACAGGGUGAAGCACAAAGGAGAUUCUUGCAAGAUUUGGAAGACCUAGGGAAGGAAGUGACAUUUUAUGGCUGACCUAUGCUGUUGCUGAUCUGCUGCAUCAUUUCAAUGGCAUAAAGCAGCAUCUAGAUCUGCGGUUGUUUAGCCUUUUCUGGAUUCAUCUUCAGUUUUUUGACCCCUGAGCCAGACUCAGAGUUCACCUCCUCCAGGAAGCCUUCCUUGAGACGCCAUUGCUCACCUGGCUCUACUUGCUUGACCAGAAGUACUUUAAAGAUUAUAUCUUUACAUUUUGUAUCUGCAGGACUUGAAAUAUAAUGAACAUUCCAGACAUAAUUGAUGAAUAAAAUAACAUCCAAUCCCUUCAUUUUAUAGAUUGGUUGAUGAAGACCUUGGACUUUUGGCCAAGAUUGAACAUCUACAGUGGAGAUUAUUUAGUGCUGUUUUCUAUUCACAGGCCUAGCCACUCCAACCUGUCUGUUGUCUUUACAUCAUAGGACUUUACCCAAGGUGCACUCUAUAAUACAUGCCAGUCCAAAUAUACAUUCUGACAGACAAUCUAGCUGCCCACAUCUGUCAGAUGGCUCUUUCUGUGACAACUGAGGAUAAGAAUUUUUUUCUUUAAGAAUUAGAGCUAAAUAUUAUGAAAUAUAAUCUAGACUUCAAGAAACUUUGACAGUUACCUGUAUCACCGUCUGUGGAUGAAUAAAAAUCUCUUUGACAUCUAAGACAAAAUGGCCAUUCACCAUCUAUCUGAAAAUUCUAGUGAGGACAGCCAUACUUUCUGAGGCAUGUUGAAUGGCUAACAUUUUAGAAUUCUUCCUUACAUUGGCUGAAAUAUGACUGAAGUUUCACAGAUUUACCCUUAUUCCUCAUGAUAAAAGUACAGAAGUUUGUUAAGUGUCCUUGGUGACAGGUUGGUCAAGAUUGGACCUUCCAUAGGAUUACUUAGUCUCACAUCCCCUCAUGGCUACGGAUCUCAUAAGGAUGGGUCUGAACAUCAAAAAUAUCACUGUUUUUAUUCAGGUACUGACAGCGCCAUAUAAAUAUGGCUUAAAGCAUGGCUAUAAGAAGAGUGAAUAUUCUAAUGACCUGUCUUGAGUGAAGCUGAUGAGACUGUAUUUUGAGUCUUACUGUACCUGUUAAGGCUAUGCAGCGUAUUUAGAGAGAAAUGUGGAAUUUGUUAUAUAAAGGUAAGUUUAAAUAGGGUGCUAAUAUCUAUGAAGGUCAACUUUGUUAAUUCAACACAAAUAAAAAUCCAAGCCAUGGUCAUUCAGCACACAUAAAGUCUAAGUAAUUUCAAAUAAAAUUACUGCUUGGCUGAAUGCUUAAGCAAUUUUGGAUUGCUGGAGUGAAUCAAAGAAUACUCAUAAUGUAAGCUCAUUAGAUUCACAGAGAGAUAUGCUGAUUUAAUUCAAGUGUUCUGCUGUCCAUUUAAACUUCACCUUCUUUUCUUACUUUGGAUUACUAGAUGUUUUUGUUAAUCUUAUUUGACAAGCUGCAUCUAGUCUUAUGAAUUUAACCUUUUUGUGAAUUGUCUUUGCUAUUAAAAAUUCUGUAACUGUCAAUCACUUGAAUCAUGUGGAGUUAUGAAAAAUGUCUGAUCCUUGAAUGUAUAUCUUUUCUCUCUCCAUCUGUAAUAUCUUACUAUGUACAGAAUAAAUUAGAAACUUAUCUGUGAUGUUAAUAUUUCUGAUAGCUUAAAUAUGUCACUUUACAUACGAUUUAUAUGUAAAAUGAUUUCUAAAUAUGAUAAAAUGUAUCCCAGACUUAAUAGAGGUUUAGCUGAUAUUUUGGCUCAGCUUUUAUUUUUUUAAUUAAUUAAUUAAUUAAUUAAUUAAUUAAUUUGUUUUUGAGACAGAGUCUUGCUCUGUCACCAGGCUGGAGUGCAGUGGCACGAUCUCAGCUCACUGCAACCUCCACCUCUUGGGUUCAAGCGAUUCCCCUGCCUUAGCCUCCCAAGUAGCUGGGAUUACAGGCAUGCACCACCACGCCUGGCAAAUUUUUUGUAUUUUAGUAGAGACGGGGUUUCACCAUGUUGGCCAAGACACUCUCGAUCUCCUGACCUCGUGAUCCACCCACCUCGGACUCUCAAAGUGCUGAGAUUACAGGCGUGAGCCACCACGCCCGGCCAGCUUUUAUUUUAUAGUUUGGUGUUUCUAUGGGAGAUUUAGGGGGAAACCUUAGUUUCUUCUUUUGUCACAUAAUGUUUCCCGCCAUAUAGGAAAAGAUAAUAUUUUAAAAAAUUACAAAAUUACCCUAAAAAGGAGUUCCCUUUUCUUAAGAUACAUACAAGUUUUCACUCAGAAAAGUUGAAUAUUUUAUAUAUAUCUCCGGGAUUUUAGAUUUUUCACUUCAUGGACUGCAUGAUAAAUCUCAUUAAAUCCAUUUGAGAAAAGGUCUGUUCCUCUGUUUAAGAAUUGUUUGAAGACUUUGCAGGAAAUGAUAGUGUGGUAGUAGAUAAAUUCUAUCCCCUGCUUCACCUCUAACCACUGCACUCUUAGACCACGGACAACUUAUAAAAAUAAACUAUCACGUUGUAUUCAAUUAUUCAGGCAAGUGGAGGUUGUAAACCACCCUCUCCCUAAUUUCUCUGCCUCCAACAUAUUAAAACUACCACAUCUUGGCUCCAAGGAUUCAUGGACUGUUGAAUUUGCCCCUACCAAGCAGAGAUGGUGGACAGCAUUAUGAAUAAUAGCUGAUUUUAUUUUAAGUGGGAAUAAAGAGAACUAUAAAAAUCCUUUAACUGUUCCCUCCUACUUAUUAGUGUCUCAAAAUUUUUGACUCAUAACACAUAGAAAAAUCACAAGAUUUGCUUCAAAACAAAAAUAUUAAAAUAUUAAAACCCCAAGUGCAUGGUUUUCUAUAACGUAAUUCAGUUAUUGUAAACUCUGCUUUGUCUCAUAGGAAUACAGUUAUUCACUAAGAACCUUCAGAAGAAAGGAAAAAUAAACAUAUAAAUGUUAAGAUUUGUCCCAUUUCAUACCUCAUCUAGCAUGGUUUUUUUUCAAAUUACUACAUACAUGGCCCUUUUUUUUGCUAGAACUCUUUCCCCUGGAGACUGAAUUGUAGAGAUAACACAGAAUGGAAUGAUUUUUAUUUUAUAAUUAAAGACAGCUUCUUGGGUGUUAUAAUAAUGGUAAAAUAUAGACUGUGUCUAAAGCAAAAUACAGCAAACAAAUGCAAUAUUGGGGCUAUCUGGGCUUAAAAUGCAUUUUCUAUUGUAAUUACCUAACCAUUUCAGCAAAAAAGGGAAUUUUAUUAAGAUUUGAGUUAACUCAUUUAAUCUGGCCAUCUAUCGUUGUCAUUUUAAAUAUCCAUUUCAUUUUGAGUAUUUGGGCACACAUUUUGUUUAUAGGUACAUGGGAAAAUCUAGCACAUAAUUAAUAUAUUAAACUGGCUGUCUUUAUAUCACAACAUAGUCUAUUUAAUCUAUUAUGUUGUUUAACCAAAACCAAACUAUAAAAAGCAAGCAUGGAUAUAGUAGAUUUUUUCUCAGAAAAAAAGCUUGACUAUUAUUUUUAUGAAAUUGCAAAGAAUUACAAUAUUCUUUCACACUGCGUUUCAAGAAAAUGAGCAAAGGAUAUUUAUAGACAUGUUUUUGAUAGAUACCCCAGUGACAACGGAAGUCACUUUUAAAUUAUAAGGUAAAAUGUGAAACUAAUAGAUAAAAUUUGACAUGUUAAGAGUUGCAUCUUCCUCAAAUAUAAAGAUAAGAACCAAUGUAGUUUGAAAAUAGCAAAAGCGCUUUCACUAUCCUAUGGACAGAUAUUUUGGAAAACCUAUUACUUUUACCAAUUAAAUUUAAAACUGCACUGCCUGGUUGUUUCUUUGUUUAUAUAUUUGUAUUCCAUCUUAUUUUAAUAAAGUUUUAAGAGGAA